UGGGGAAUAUUGCACAAUGGGCGCAAGCCUGAUGCAGCCAUGCCGCGUGUAUGAAGAAGGCCUUCGGGUUGUAAAGUACUUUCAGUCGGGAGGAAGGUGGUAAGGUUAAUAACCUUGGCAAUUGACAUUACCGACAGAAGAAGCACCGGCUAACUCCGUGCCAGCAGCCGCGGUAAUACGGAGGGUGCAAGCGUUAAUCGGAAUUACUGGGCGUAAAGCGCACGCAGGCGGUUGAUUGAGUCAGAUGUGAAAUCCCCGGGCUUAACCCGGGAAUUGCAUCUGAUACUGGUCAGCUAGAGUCUUGUAGAGGGGGGUAGAAUUCCAUGUGUAGCGGUGAAAUGCGUAGAGAUGUGGAGGAAUACCGGUGGCGAAGGCGGCCCCCUGGACAAAGACUGACGCUCAGGUGCGAAAGCGUGGGGAGCAAACAGG
rnacentral:rRNA from 1 species